UUCGAAAUGUAAAUACAUAAAAAUCCAGAAAGGGGGGGCAGCAGGGAAGGCAAGCUAUGAAACCUCAAAACCCCCAGCUUUCUGGGGGAAAGAGAAGAAAAUAAAGGUGGUGACAUUUUAAGCUGGAAAAGAAGAAAGAAAAAGAGAGGGAAAAAAGAGGCUAGGGUUAGUACCUGGUUGAUUCCAAAGCCCGGGCACUGGCCUUGCGUCAUCCUGUCUACUGUCCUGGCGUCAUGUCAGCAAGUGAGGAAGAUGCCGGGAGGAGGUACCAGGCCUGUAGAACAGCACGUGGGGAGCUUUCCGGUGGAAGAGAACUGGCAGUGAGUGAGGAGGCCAAGGGAGGCUCUCUCCCCAUUGUCUUAAGUACUAUUGGUGGAAUGCAGAGGCAUUUCAAGGGAACCGAACUGUCGGAUCUUCUGGGCUGUGUUUGUUAGGUGUGAACAAAACCAAAACCAAACACAAACCAAAAUAAGACACCCAAACCAAUUCUUAUUCUCAGUGGCAGUUGGAAGACUUGCUAUCCAUGCACAGUGCCUGGCCCUCUGCUGUCCCGUCCCAAGAACUACUCCCUUGGCUUAACCUUUGGGAAAUGGGGCUGCGAUUUGCCUAGAUUUACUAUCACCCAACACGAUGGACUGCCUGGGACACGGGCUCUUGGCAUCGGUUGACCAAAAUUAAGCGGCGCGAUGUACAGGCCAGGCACGGUGCCUUCCACUCUUGAAGAAAUGGGUUCGAUAUUCAGAUCUGUGUUUAUUUUAUUUCAGUAAGCUGAGGAAAAGUGACAGGGUUGGUCUCAAAGAACCGGACAAAGGAUGGUGUGGCCAUAUGGAUUCCAAGCCCCAUGGAGAAAAAAGAGAAGCAGUAGAUAGUGAAGGUUGGACAACAGCCGGUAGGAGUCCCUGUGGUGGGAAUCUCUGUGGGAUUCUUUCCUUCACAGCACACCAGCCCCUGUAGAGAGGGGCUUUGUUUCCAGUCAGGGCUUGAGGAGUUGGUUACACAGAGUUUUGUUUUCAGAAGCCUGUGUGUGAGCUGAGGUUGGUGACUCCACCGUCUCUGAGUGGAAACAGCUACAACACUCAUGUGCCCCUAAUUAUCCCCGAGGAUAUAAAACAUCUAGUACCUUGCAAGGCCUUUUUUUCUCUCUAGGACACAAAUUCCUCUUUCCUCCCUCUUCAAUAAACCAAGUUGUGAUUAAAACCUUAGGAAGGAAAAAGGGCGCCACCGAGCAUGUCCUCCACAACCCUCCCAACGUGGCCACUGAGUCACAGGAAAAACAUUCAGGAUGAGAGACCUCGGGGCCCCUGGAGGCAGGGGUGGAUCCGACUAUUGAUAAGCUUCUUCUCUCUAUUUAGAAACUUGCUUUUUCCCAGAGAGGUCCUUUAAAAGUGUUGGACCACUGACUGCAGUUCCGUUCACGGCCACAGACAGUGGCUGGGGUGGUUGGCAGGAGAGACACGUGAAGGACUGAUUUGCCUUUCCAUGACACGCAGGCGGGUGGCACGGUGCCCAGGACUGCAGUACAAAGGCCACCCCUAGAUCAGGUAAGGCCCCAUCUGAGCACAGAAAAUACAUAUUUGAGAAACGUCAGCACCAAGGAUGUCAUUUUUUCUGUUCCAGGAUAUUCGUUUGAAAAAACGGGAACAAUAAUAAAACAUAACACAGUGACUCCUGGGCCUGGACUAUUUUGCCAUGUGACCACACUGACCAAGAAACAGAAGGGGCAACACAGCUAAAGCGUUAUAAAAAAAAAACAACGUGAAGUGCUAAACGUGUUCCCUUCCAUUUUGAAAGAGGCUCCAUCCUUCUCGGCUGAGCGUACCAAAGACUAAGCGAGCGGGUGCCCGAGAGUAUAAACAUUGCUCACAGCCUUGCGCCCCAGAGAAGCAAGAAACAUUUUUUCUAAAGUUUGAAGUCUCUGCCCAAACACAGUUUGCAAUGUUUUGGGAGUAGGAUCCAAGUUCUGUUGAAUGCUUAUGAGACAUUUUGCUUAUUAAAUAAUCUUCUGAAAUCUGCCAGGUUUCAAUGACUCAUGGAUUCAUGCAAACGAAUGCAUGGCAGUUUGGAUUAUGGAAUCCGAGGGAAGAGAAUCCUCAAAUGUGCACUUUACAGGGAGGAGACCGGCUGCCAGGACACUGGAAAUGAUUUGCCCGGACCACGCCCUGGGAAGUGCCCAUGUUUGGAAAGCCGGGCCGGAACCCCAAACCUCCGAGCUCAGGACUCUUUCUUCUGAACCCAGUUUUCCUGGGGGCCAGUGAGAAGUCUCUCUGGGUAAGGACGCAUGCCAGCAAGCUAUGACCUGGGCUUGAUGUCUGGAACCCACACAGUAGAAGGAGAGAACUGACUCUCACAGGCUGCCCCCCUGAUCUCAAGAGGCUGUGGCAUGCAGGGUUGCUGUUGCUAUCUGAGGACUUAAUUCUUCAGGUGAAGAGAGCGGGAUGGAGCUUGGAGGGCAGGAAUUCUGGGACUCAACUGGAUUCUGUCAGAGAGGAAGGGAUGUGCUGAGCUCUGCAAACCUCCUUCCGCUAUUGACAGCGGAGCCUGCUGGUGAGGGACGGGUGACCUUCACCUGCUCUGCCUUAGUCAAUAACAACCCAGAGACAAACAGUCGCUUCAUCUACAACAACCACUUAAUUUUGUGCCCCACUCUAUUUACAGUCAGAAAAAAGAAAAGCAAACCAAAUUCUGUGAUAUGUAUUUUUUUUUCUUCAGUCAAGGAUGUACCACAAAUGUCAACAAAGUGUCCUUUUGGUCAAUACUUGCUAGGGAAAGUACAGUGUGUUCUUGGGAUGAUUAUGGUACACAAGGCUUCUCACAAACUAAUGAAAACAUCGAACUUGUUACAUAUUUAUACACAAGUACUUUGGGAUGUUGUAGGAAGGCGAACUCCACAGAUCUACAUUCUAAUAAAGCCCCAUUCACACAUAAACACAUACACACAUAACUUUUUUGUAUUUACAUCAGCCAUGGGUGGAAUUUUCUGCCCAGUCCUGGGGGUGGGGGCAGCUUUAAAUAUUUCAUGGGAAAAUAAGAGUGCUUCUUUACUCCCUUAAGACGAAACGGAAUGGAUAAAUAAUGCAUAUGUCUGAGGCCAGUUUUAAAAACCUCGUGAUUUGUACUGACUGAGGGGAACCAACCGACACGUGAAGCCAGAAACUAUGAAAAUUGAAAGGGAAAUAGGUGGAAAAUUCCACAAGCCUAAAUCCCAGCUCCCAGGACGGCAGGAUUGUCACCUGAGAGGCAUCUGCUGAAUUUUUGGCAGCCUUGCAUUACCUUGCUUUGAAGACAGAGUGUAAUAUCAAGGGCUUCCAGAAGGAGACUGAAUUAUAUUUGCUGGGAGACUUCUUGGUACCAUCAAUUUAUCUAAAUCUAAGUGAACAGCCAAUAUCGAGAAAGACGUCAACCCCGGAAGCUUCCCCUAGUGGACAGUAUUAACUGGGGACAAGCAGCUAAGGUGCCCAUUUGACAUAAUCAAAGUGGACCUGGGCUGUCAGGUUCUCCCAGCAUCCUUCAGUCCCUACUCCUCAGGGUAUAGUUGACAAACCCCCACGACCUCUACUCUGAAAGGUCCAGCCCAGGGGCUGGGCUGCCUACCCCCCAGAAGCUCUUCUCUGUGUAGCCCAGACUUUAGCUUUCCAGCUGCUGCUCUUGGUUUCCUUUUCCCCCCUCUCCCUACAUGGUACAGGGUCAUGAACUCUAUGGACUCUCCCAGAUGCCUCUCCCACAUAUCUAUAAUAAUUUUUUCCUCCACCAUACCUAGGAGCAGUCACAGUCUGUUCUUUCCUAUUCUUUUUUUUUUUUUUUCAUUCAGAGAGCACUGUCUUUUGGUGGGGAGGGGAAACCUACCCUCAAAUCUGCAUUACAGAGUUCUUGUAACCAUGGGUCCAGGCAGACAGAUUGUUACUGCAAAGGUUUUCUGCGCUAGUUUGUACACCACCUGAGGAAUACAGGGGAAGGUUCACCUACAGUAGAAGUUGGGACUUCCCACAGCGGGAACAAUGUCAGGCAUUGUAAUAAAUGUGUCCUUCGGACCUUCAUCAAGUGCAGAAACAUUUCAUGUAUGAGGAGGGUGGGGCCGAUAAACUCUCAGAGAGGUGAGUUCAGUUACCUUGACUGCCACAAUGUGUUACUUUCUAGGCAUAAGAAACAUUCUAUCUGAGUCUUUUCUAUUCUAGGGAAUGAAUACUUUAAAACCAGUGUUUAAAACAAGUAUUUUUACAAGUCUUUUCUUUUACACUCCUACCCCACACUGGGAAAACAUUUCUGUAAAUGUUUUAUCCUUCUUCCCCACCCAGUAAAGAUUUUGUGCCUGCUGUGUUCUGGGCACUUGAUGUAGACCUGUGAUCCCUUUCUCCCAGGAGCAGUAAACCCGAUUUCCCAUUUCCUGUGCUCACAGUCUUAAAAGAUUAGUCAAUCACAAAAGACUGUGAAGUCGCCAAUCAUAAAAGACUGUGAAGUCGGAUUCUAACCAACAGGGAAAAGACACAGGCACUACUUACAUUAGAAUAAAAAUCCAAGAACAAUUCCCAUCCCGGUGUGUUUGCUCUUCCCAUUGGCGAGCAAUGUUCCCUGUUGAUUAAGAGUAAAGUUUUACCUUAACUUCAUUUAGAAGGGCUAUCCCAUUCUUAGUUCUAAAGUAGGCAUCUGAAGUAGCUUUUGAGGA
rnacentral:sRNA from 1 species